UACAGAGGGUGCGAGCGUUGUUCGGAAUUAUUGGGCGUAAAGGGCGCGUAGGCGGCGCGGUAUGUCACCUGUGAAAGCCCUGGGCUCAACCUAGGAAGUGCACUCGAAACUGCGGAGCUUGAGUCCUGGAGAGGAAGGCGGAAUUCUCGGUGUAGAGGUGAAAUUCGUAGAUAUCGAGAGGAACACCGGUGGCGAAGGCGGCCUUCUGGACAGUGACUGACGCUGAGACGCGAAAGCGUGGGGAGCAAACAGG
rnacentral:rRNA from 1 species